rnacentral:rRNA from 1 species
CAAAAACAUCGCCCUCUGUAAAGUUUUAUYUUAUAUAUGGGGGGUCCUGCCUGCCCGGUGACUUAGUUAAACGGCCGCGGUAUUUUGACCGUGCAAAGGUAGCAUAAUCAUUUGCCUUUUAAAUGGGGGCUGGUAUGAAUGGCAAGACGGAAAUUAGACUGUCUCUUUCUUUUUUUUUGAAUUUGAUCUUUCUGUGAAGAAGCAGGAAUGUAGUCGUGGGACGAGAAGACCCUGUCGAGCUUUAAUGGGCCUGGGUAGGCGAUUGAAGUUGCUUACUUGCUAAUUUAUUCGUUGAUAAGGAUGAGUGGCAUUACUUGUGUUUGUGGCGACGUUUUAUGUAGGCCGUUUUGGUUGGGGCAACCGCGGAGAAUAUGUAUCCUCCGCUGGGUUCGAUAAGUAAAAUGAUGGUUUUCUUACUUGUUAUGUUUGUGUGAUCCGCUGUUUGGGCGAGCAAAAGAACAAGUUACCGCAGGGAUAACAGCGUAAUUCUUUUAGAGAGUUCAUAUUGAUAAGGGAGUUUGCGACCUCGAUGUUGGAUCGGGAUUUCCUGGGGGUGCAGCAGCUCCCGAGGGUUGGUCUGUUCGACCAUUAAAAUCCUACGUGAUCUGAGUUCAGACCGGCGGGAGCCAGGUCAGUUUCUAUCCUCGAUUAUUAGAAAAAGCUGUCUUUAGUACGAAAGGAUUAGGAGGGCGGCGCCCAUGCUUGAAAGUAGGCGUUAAAAAUGGAUAUG